UCAUCCUCAUCCCCAUCUUCAUCCUCCUCCUCAUCUUCAUCCUCAUCUUCAUCCUCCUCCUCCUCCUCCUCAUCCCCUUCUUCAUCCUCAUCCUCGUCCUCGUCCUCAUCUUCAUCCUCAUCCUUCUCCUCCUCCUCAUCCUCAUCCCCUACUUCAUCCCCUUCUUCAUCCUCAUCCUCCUCUUCAUCCUCCUCUUCAUCCUCAUCUUCAUCCUCAUCUUCAUCCUCAUCUUCAUCCUCAUCCUUCUCCUCCUCAUCAUUCUCAUCUUCAUCCUCAUCCUCAUCCUCCUCCUCCUCCUCCUCAUCUUCAUCCUCCUCCUCCUCCCUUUUCUUUCUUUACUUCCUCUCCUCCCCUUCCUCUUCCUCACCUUCCCCUUCCUCCUCUUCAUUCUCUUUUUCCUCCUCUUCCUCCUCUUCCUCACCUUCCUCAUCCUCAUCUUCUUCCUCCCUUGUCCUCACCAUCCUCCUCUUCUUCGUCUUCUCCAUUUUCCUCCUCUUCCUCAUUCUCCUCUUCCUGCUCUUCCUCUUUUUCCUCAUUCUACUUCCUCUUCUUCCUCCUCACCUUCCUCACCUUCCUCUUUUUCCUUCUCUUCUUCUUCCUCAUCUUUGUUGUCCUCCUCCUCCUCGUCUUUCAUUGUCCUCACCCUCCUCCUCCUCUUCCUCCUCCUCUUCCUCCUCCUCUUCCUCCCCCCCCCCCCCCGGCUCUGUGCCCGACAUGGGGGGGCUCUGGGCUCACUUUGGGGCCAUUUUCUGCAGAUUUGGGGUCAUUUCCUGCAGAUUUGGGGUCAUUUCCAGCAGAUUUGGGGGGUUCUGUGGUGAAUUUGGGGCCAUUUCCUGCAGAUUUGGGCCACAUGCUGCAGCGUGGGGGUGGUUUGCGGAGCGUGUGUUGUGCGUGGGGGGCGUUCCAAGGGGAUUUGGGGCAAUUUUCCCCAGAUUUGGGGCCGUUUGUUGUGAAUUUGGGGCAGCUGGGGCAGAUUUGGGGCACUGUGAAGUCGAUUUGGGGCCAUUUCCAGUGGAUUUGGGGCCAUUUAUUGUGAAUUUGGGGCCAUUUGCUGUGGAUUUGGGCCACGUGCAGCAGUGUGGGGCCAUUUGUUGUGAAUUUGGGGCCAUUUGCUGCAGAUUUGGGGCAGCUGGGGCAGAUUUGAGGCACUGUGAAGUCAAUUUGGGGCCAUUUCCAGUGGAUUUGGGGCUGUUUGCAGCAGUUUGGAGACAUGCACAGUG
ensembl:lncRNA